rnacentral:rRNA from 1 species
AACGAACGCUGGCGGCAUGCCUAACACAUGCAAGUCGAACGAAACCUCCUCGUUUAGUGGCUCCCGGGUGCGUAACGCGUGGGAACCUGCCCUUAGGUUCUGAACAACACUCCGAAAGGGCUUCUAAAAACGGUUACUGAUUUCGGACCAAAGAUUCUUCGGCUUUGGAUGGGCCCGCGUUGGAUUAGCGUGUUGGUAGGGUAAAAGCCUACCCAGGCGACUAUCCAUAGCUGGUCUGAGAGGAUGAUCAACCACACUGGGACUGGGACACGGCCCAGACUCGUAGGAGAGGCAGCAGAGGGGGAUAUUGGACAAGGGGCGAGAGGCUGAUCCAGCAAUGCCGCGUGAGUGAUGAAGGCCUUAUGGUUGUAAUGCUCUUUUGCCCGAGAUGAUAAUGACGGUACCGGGAGAAUAAGCGCCGGCUAACUACGUG